AGCGUACACGGUGGAUGCCCUGGCAGUCAGAGGCGAUGAAGGACGUGCUAAUCUGCGAUAAGCGUCGGUAAGGUGAUAUGAACCGUUAUAACCGGCGAUUUCCGAAUGGGGAAACCCAGUGUGAUUCGUCACACUAUCAUUAACUGAAUCCAUAGGUUAAUGAGGCGAACCGGGGGAACUGAAACAUCUAAGUACCCCGAGGAAAAGAAAUCAACCGAGAUUCCCCCAGUAGCGGCGAGCGAACGGGGAGCAGCCCAGAGCCUGAAUCAGUGUGUGUGUUAGUGGAAGCGUCUGGAAAGGCGCGCGAUACAGGGUGACAGCCCCGUACACAAAAAUGCACAUACUGUGAGCUCGAUGAGUAGGGCGGGACACGUGGUAUCCUGUCUGAAUAUGGGGGGACCAUCCUCCAAGGCUAAAUACUCCUGACUGACCGAUAGUGAACCAGUACCGUGAGGGAAAGGCGAAAAGAACCCCGGCGAGGGGAGUGAAAAAGAACCUGAAACCGUGUACGUACAAGCAGUGGGAGCACAGAGCAAUCUGUGUGACUGCGUACCUUUUGUAUAAUGGGUCAGCGACUUAUAUUCUGUAGCAAGGUUAACCGAAUAGGGGAGCCGAAGGGAAACCGAGUCUUAACUGGGCGUUAAGUUGCAGGGUAUAGACCCGAAACCCGGUGAUCUAGCCAUGGGCAGGUUGAAGGUUGGGUAACACUAACUGGAGGACCGAACCGACUAAUGUUGAAAAAUUAGCGGAUGACUUGUGGCUGGGGGUGAAAGGCCAAUCAAACCGGGAGAUAGCUGGUUCUCCCCGAAAGCUAUUUAGGUAGCGCCUCGUGAAUUCAUCUCCGGGGGUAGAGCACUGUUUCGGCAAGGGGGUCAUCCCGACUUACCAACCCGAUGCAAACUGCGAAUACCGGAGAAUGUUAUCACGGGAGACACACGGCGGGUGCUAACGUCCGUCGUGAAGAGGGAAACAACCCAGACCGCCAGCUAAGGUCCCAAAGUCAUGGUUAAGUGGGAAACGAUGUGGGAAGGCCCAGACAGCCAGGAUGUUGGCUUAGAAGCAGCCAUCAUUUAAAGAAAGCGUAAUAGCUCACUGGUCGAGUCGGCCUGCGCGGAAGAUGUAACGGGGCUAAACCAUGCACCGAAGCUGCGGCAGCGACGCUUAUGCGUUGUUGGGUAGGGGAGCGUUCUGUAAGCCUGCGAAGGUGUGCUGUGAGGCNUAAAGAAAGCGUAAUAGCUCACUGGUCGAGUCGGCCUGCGCGGAAGAUGUAACGGGGCUAAACCAUGCACCGAAGCUGCGGCAGCGACACUAUGUGUUGUUGGGUAGGGGAGCGUUCUGUAAGCCUGUGAAGGUGUACUGUGAGGUNCCUGCGAAGGUGUGCUGUGAGGCAUGCUGGAGGUAUCAGAAGUGCGAAUGCUGACAUAAGUAACGAUAAAGCGGGUGAAAAGCCCGCUCGCCGGAAGACCAAGGGUUCCUGUCCAACGUUAAUCGGGGCAGGGUGAGUCGACCCCUAAGGCGAGGCCGAAAGGCGUAGUCGAUGGGAAACAGGUUAAUAUUCCUGUACUUGGUGUUACUGCGAAGGGGGGACGGAGAAGGCUAUGUUGGCCGGGCGACGGUUGUCCCGGUUUAAGCGUGUAGGCUGGUUUUCCAGGCAAAUCCGGAAAAUCAAGGCUGAGGCGUGAUGACGAGGCACUACGGUGCUGAAGCAACAAAUGCCCUGCUUCCAGGAAAAGCCUCUAAGCAUCAGGUAACAUCAAAUCGUACCCCAAACCGACACAGGUGGUCAGGUAGAGAAUACCAAGGCGCUUGAGAGAACUCGGGUGAAGGAACUAGGCAAAAUGGUGCCGUAACUUCGGGAGAAGGCACGCUGAUAUGUAGGUGAAGCGACUUGCUCGNCGGGAGAAGGCACGCUGAUAUGUAGGUGAAGUCCCUCGCGGAUGGAGCUGAAAUCAGUCGAAGAUACCAGCUGGCUGCAACUGUUUAUUAAAAACACAGCACUGUGCAAACACGAAAGUGGACGUAUACGGUGUGACGCCUGCCCGGUGCCGGAAGGUUAAUUGAUGGGGUUAGCGCAAGCGAAGCUCUUGAUCGAAGCCCCGGUAAACGGCGGCCGUAACUAUAACGGUCCUAAGGUAGCGAAAUUCCUUGUCGGGUAAGUUCCGACCUGCACGAAUGGCGUAAUGAUGGCCAGGCUGUCUCCACCCGAGACUCAGUGAAAUUGAACUCGCUGUGAAGAUGCAGUGUACCCGCGGCAAGACGGAAAGACCCCGUGAACCUUUACUAUAGCUUGACACUGAACAUUGAGCCUUGAUGUGUAGGAUAGGUGGGAGGCUUUGAAGUGUGGACGCCAGUCUGCAUGGAGCCGACCUUGAAAUACCACCCUUUAAUGUUUGAUGUUCUAACGUUGACCCGUAAUCCGGGUUGCGGACAGUGUCUGGUGGGUAGUUUGACUGGGGCGGUCUCCUCCUAAAGAGUAACGGAGGAGCACGAAGGUUGGCUAAUCCUGGUCGGACAUCAGGAGGUUAGUGCAAUGGCAUAAGCCAGCUUGACUGCGAGCGUGACGGCGCGAGCAGGUGCGAAAGCAGGUCAUAGUGAUCCGGUGGUUCUGAAUGGAAGGGCCAUCGCUCAACGGAUAAAAGGUACUCCGGGGAUAACAGGCUGAUACCGCCCAAGAGUUCAUAUCGACGGCGGUGUUUGGCACCUCGAUGUCGGCUCAUCACAUCCUGGGGCUGAAGUAGGUCCCAAGGGUAUGGCUGUUCGCCAUUUAAAGUGGUACGCGAGCUGGGUUUAGAACGUCGUGAGACAGUUCGGUCCCUAUCUGCCGUGGGCGCUGGAGAACUGAGGGGGGCUGCUCCUAGUACGAGAGGACCGGAGUGGACGCAUCACUGGUGUUCGGGUUGUCAUGCCAAUGGCACUGCCCGGUAGCUAAAUGCGGAAGAGAUAAGUGCUGAAAGCAUCUAAGCACGAAACUUGCCCCGAGAUGAGUUCUCCCUGACUCCUUGA
rnacentral:rRNA from 1 species